rnacentral:rRNA from 1 species
UACGGGAGGUGCAAGCGUUGUUCGGAAUGAUUGGGCGUAAAGAGCACGUAGGUGGGUUCUUAAGUCGAUUGUGAAAGCCCUGGGCUCAACCCGGGAAUGGCAGUCGAAACUGGGAAUCUUGAAUAUCUGAGGGGUUAGUGGAAUUCCAGGUGUAGGAGUGAAAUCCGUAGAUAUCUGGAGGAACAUCAGAGGCGAAGGCGACUAACUGGCAGUAUAUUGACACUGAGGUGCGAAAGCGUGGGGAGCAAACAGG